rnacentral:rRNA from 1 species
AUGAACGCUAGCGGCAGGCUUAACACAUGCAAGUCGAGGGGCAGCGGGAUGUAGCAAUACAUUGCCGGCGACCGGCGCAAGGGUGCGUAACGCGUGAGCAACAUGCCCGUCACAGGAGGAUAAACCAUGGAAACGUGGCCUAAUACUCCAUAGUAUGUUUUGGAGGCAUCUCCAGGACAUUAAAGCUUCAUAGGCGUUGGAUGGGCAUGCGUGCUAUUAGAUAGUUGGCGGGGUAACGGCCCACCAAGUCUACGAUAGCUAGGGGAUCUGAGAGGACGGUCCCCCACACUGGAACUGAGACACGGUCCAGACUCCUACGGGAGGCAGCAGUGAGGAAUAUUGGUCAAUGGUCUGACGACUGAACCAGCCAUGCCGCGUGAAGGUCACGGCCCUAUGGGUCUUAAACUUCUUUUGUAAGGGAGCAAUAAGUCUCACGUGUGGGAUGAUGAGAGUACCUUACGAAUAAGCAUCGGCUAACUCCGUG